GGCAAGGAAGCAGCUGGCCUCAUGGAGGUUAUCAUUUCCGCCAGAAAGGGAACCAAGAGCACCUACUUGAGCCGGGAGACCCACUACGCCCAACCAAAUACUUGAAUACAGUAUCCAAGUUUGAUCCCUACCCAAUGCCCAGGAUGGAUGAUCUGUUGGAGAGAGUUGGAUCAGCGAGCUACAUUACAACACUGGACCUGUGUAAGGGAUACUGGCAAGUGGCUUUGGCACCAGAAGGGAAAGAGCUGACAGCCUUCAAAACUCCUUUUGUAUGUCUGGAUGACGUGGUGGUGUAUAGCCAGUCCUGGGAAAAGCAUGUGAUUCACCUACAGAAGGUGCUACACUGCUUCAGAAUAACUGGACUGACUGUUGACCCCAAGAAGUGUUCCAUAGCCCAGAGAGAAGUGGAGUACUUGGGCUUUGUGGUUGGCUCUGGGAAGAUGAAGCUGCAGGCUGGAAAGAUUGAGGCAAUCCAGUCCUUCUCAGUUCUGAUGACAAAAAAGGAAGGUGAGAGGUUUUCUAGGUCUGGUAGGCUGGUACAGGAAAUUCAUACCUUCCUUUGCAGAGCGAUCCACUGCACUGAAUGACCUCACAAAGGGUUCAGCCCCCAAAAAAGUGCGUUGGACUGAAUAUGAGCAUGCAUUCAGAGACCUCAAGGAAGCAGUAUGCACACAUCCAGUUUUACAUAGCCCAGACUUCAGCAAGCCAUUCAUCUUGCAAACAGGUGCUUCAGGAGUAGGUCUUGGAGCUGUCUUUCAGCACGAGGUGGAUGGUGAAAGAAGGCCUGUGGUGUUUGAGUCGGAAAUCAUCAUGAUCAUUGUGCCCUCCAGUAGCUGAACCGCAUGAGGGAUGCAAAUGCUCGCAUUGCAGGAUGGUACCUGUCUCUGCAGCCUUAUGACUUUACGGUCCCGUACAGGCCAGGGAAGUCAAAUGUGGUUGCUGACUGUUUAUCCAGGAUAACAGAGGACUGAAGUACUUUGCACUUAAGAGAGGGGAGGAAGUGUAAGGAUGAGGACUCCCUUACUACUAUUAUAUUAUAAUUUGUAUAGCACUUUAGAAGGACCUUUUACUUUAUUAAAAGCACCUUAUCUAUCACUUUAUUUAGCAUUGCACUUUAAACAUAGAUUUGCACAUGAAGAACAUUUGCACACAAGAAGUCUAAGUUUGUGUGAGUGGAAAAUUUAGAAGUAAAGGUGGUACAAAGAAGUGACUAAGAUGUGAUUACUCACCUUUCUUUCCUGUGUCCUCUUCAGGGUGUUUGGGCAAAUGUUUCCCCGGGGGUCCAGACACUAUUUAAAGGUUCUGGGAGAGGCCAUGGGUUAAGGGAGUGUGGGGAAUCUUUUGUGCUUAGGUUUUUUGGUGUUUUUACAAUAAUGGGUAUGGUGUAAGGAUAAAGUGUAAAAUAUGUAUUAAUAUGAAAAUGUAAAAUGUAUAUAUUAUAUAUUUAUUUAUUGAAAUUGAUGUACUGACAGCUGAAAGUAUUUAAGGCUGCUAGUGGUCAUUAGAUACAGUUUUGUGAGGAGGGCUAUACUGUGAAUACAUGCCUCGUUCCGCUAUACUUGUCUUGGUGUGCCUCACUGUAAAUCCAGCCGCGAAAGGCCGCACUGUUACAGAGAUGUAGAAUAUAAACAUAUCUUUCUGUAAAGCACUUUGGGUCUGCUCUUGUUGUUUAAAUUUGCCUUGAAAUAUAAAUAAAAUGGAUGUGGCAC
ensembl:lncRNA